UUAACCAUUUCAAAAGACUCUUCUGCUACAUGUCAGUGAGGAAAAAGAGAAUUUCAUUCAUUUUAAUAAACAUUAAAUCUAAUCAUGAAUAUGACUUUAACGAUUAUAUCUUUUAUCUUUUUAUCUCCUCUCUCAAUCCUUCAUAUCCAAAAAAAUUAUGCCUUCCAAUACCUUUCCCUUCUCUCCUUUCAUCAUGAGAACCAAAAACUCGCUUCAAAAUACACACAUCAGAUCUGCAUCUACCCUCAAAACCACAAAAGAUAACCAUAAAUCUAACAGAUCGGAAAAAGAAUUAUGCAUUCUAACAUAAAGAACCUUCUCCUAACCGAUCCACAAACAAGCCAAUGGAAUGGGGAAAUAAAUGAGCAAGUGUACAAUAUUGUUAAUAAAACUAGAAAUCAACAACAACAAAAAACAAUGAGUAAAGACUCGACCAAAGAUGAAAUUUCCGGCAAGGGUACCUUUGAAGAAAUUCGACUUCAAGGUGUGUCGCCUCUCUCUCUCUCUGUCCUCUAAAUCUCUUUUAUCUACUCCUUUCCUGUUUCUAGUUGUCGUCGGUUCCCUUGAUGUUAUCUCUGCUAGGGUAAUGGUUUUGGGGUAAGUCGUGGCUUAGCUCAAGUUUGUUGAGUUUCAGUAUGAAAUUUCAACAAACUCUGAAAGAAAGAUUAGAGCUUUAGUGAUGUUUUUGCUUCUAUUUCUGCAGAGUAACGGUGCUGGAAAAGGGUCUUUUAUGAAAUAUUGCUAUGUUGUUCUUGAUGUGUGUUCUAGGGUUUUUAGA
rnacentral:lncRNA from 1 species